rnacentral:rRNA from 1 species
UACGAAGGGGGCUAGCGUUGUUCGGAAUUACUGGGCGUAAAGCGCACGUAGGCGGAUUUGUAAGUCAGGGGUGAAAUCCCGGGGCUCAACCUCGGAACUGCCUUUGAUACUGCAAGUCUCGAGUCCGGAAGAGGUGAGUGGAAUUCCUAGUGUAGAGGUGAAAUUCGUAGAUAUUAGGAAGAACACCAGUGGCGAAGGCGGCUCACUGGUCCGGUACCGACGCUGAGGCACGAAAGCGUGGGGAGCAAACAGG